rnacentral:lncRNA from 1 species
GUCUCGUCCCUGGGUUGAAGCCCAUCAACUCUUCCAAAGCAGCUCCUCUCACCCGAUUUCAGGCAGACAUCGCAGCUAUGCUGACCCGGCCGUCCAGGCUCACAUGCCCCAGGAGUAGAAUUGAGACCAAUGUAUCCGCUGCUACGAGGAGGCACAUUUCAACACAGAGAAGAUGUUCUAACAUUUCAGACUGGACAGCCGUGAAGUGGGCCAUCUUGCUCCCUGUCACCCAGGAGGUUUCAGAACAGAGUAGAAGUCCACUGGAUCAGAUGCUGCUAUGUCAUAUCACAUGCGAUGUCAACCCCAGCUUCAGUGGACAGCUCUGUGCAGCCUGUGACUCACCUCAUGCUGACACCAUUCUCUGCAUACCUUUCUGCCCUGGGCUUCUCCAAUGCCACAGGGGUGGAGGCUCUGCAUGGGCCCAACAGCGUGAGCUCCUUCUCACUGAGGCUGAUCUAGCUGGUGCUACUACUGAAUGUUGGGAGCAGAAAAUGGUGCUGAGACCUCAGUGUGGUAUCAUAUAUUCAGGAGUCAAAUCAGCCACCUUUGGCAAGUGCAUUACAUUGGGCCCCUCUGCCCUGGAAGGGGAAGUGAUUUGUCCUUUCUGGAAAUAACACCUACUCUGGAUAUGGGUGUGUCUUUAUUGCCUGAAGUGCCUCUGUCAGCACCGCUCUCUGAAGGCUGGGGAAAUGUGGAUUUGCUGACACAGAAUCCAAUAUAACAUUGUCUCAGGCCAAGGGAGCCAUUUUACAGCAAA